rnacentral:rRNA from 1 species
AUUGAACGCUGGCGGCAGGCUUAACACAUGCAAGUCGAGCGGAGAUGAGGUGCUUGCACCUUAUCUUAGCGGCGGACGGGUGAGUAAUGCUUAGGAAUCUGCCUAUUAGUGGGGGACAACAUUCCGAAAGGAAUGCUAAUACCGCAUACGCCCUACGGGGGAAAGCAGGGGAUCUUCGGACCUUGCGCUAAUAGAUGAGCCUAAGUCGGAUUAGCUAGUUGGUGGGGUAAAGGCCUACCAAGGCGACGAUCUGUAGCGGGUCUGAGAGGAUGAUCCGCCACACUGGGACUGAGACACGGCCCAGACUCCUACGGGAGGCAGCAGUGGGGAAUAUUGGACAAUGGGCGGAAGCCUGAUCCAGCCAUGCCGCGUGUGUGAAGAAGGCCUUUUGGUUGUAAAGCACUUUAAGCGAGGAGGAGGCUACCUGGAUUAAUACUCUAGGAUAGUGGACGUUACUCGCAGAAUAAGCACCGGCUAACUCUGUGCCAGCCGCCGCGGUAAGAC